ensembl:lncRNA
AAAGACGGAAGCGGAAUAAGCUAAAUCUGAGAAACCUGAACCAAAGUUGAUGUGUCUCCAUCAGCAUUUUCAAUUUGCAUUAAAAAAAACAUUUUUGAGGAGAAAAAAAAACAUCUACAAAAGCAAAGCAGAAACAGAUGUACAUGAAUCACAACUAAAACUAUGUGAAACUAUGAGCUGAGCACCAGAACUAAAAACUAAAACUAACAGAAAUAUCUGAUUUCUCCACGUUUUCUUCUUCAUUCAAGUGGUUCAACGUCUUUCUGCUGUGUGGACGCCGGCGUCUACAGUCUGUUUCCAUGUAAACAAGAGUCUUGUUAACCCAAACAGGAGUCAGUAUCAUACAAAUACAGCUCCAAGAUUACUAUAGACUAUGUGAAAUCUAAGUUUAUAAGAGCUGCUGUUGAUUUGUGGUUUUAAUAACUGUGUUUCCAAACCUAAUUGUUUCAGGAGAAGACAACCAGACUUUUGUUUUUGGUUCCUGAAGAUGUUUCACCUUCAUCCAAGAGACUUUCUCAUUUCUGACUGGUGAGGAGAACUAGGCAUUCAUUCUAACCCCAAAAUCACAUGACCUAAUGCCUGUUAAUGACCCUUAAGGUGUGAAUGGUGUUCAAAUUGCCAGGGGUGGGAUGACUCAAGAUGUCAAAGAUGGUGAAACUACCAGUGGAGGGAAGGCUAAUGUCACAACGCUGGCCAAACUACCACGGGAGGGAUGAUUAAAAGUAUUACUGGUGGUGAAACUUCCCAAGAGGGGAUGACUCAAGGUGUAAAUGAAGGUAAAACUGCAUGGGGAGGAAUGACUUAAAGAAUUAUUCGUAGUCAAAUUGCAUGGUGAGGGAUCCCAAGACUGUAUCAUAACUACCUGAUAAGUGGUGUGGAAGACUCCCUCAGCUGUCUAAAGAUGUCUAUUCCAUUAAACAUAGGCAAGACUCUCAUGCCCUAAGGUGUGAAUGUUGGUAAAACUGCCUGGUGAGGGAUGAUUUAAGGUGUUAAAGGGGGUGAAACUGCUUGGGAAUGGGUGACUGUAAGUGUCAAUGGCAGGCAAACUGUGUGGUGUACUGUGUGGGAUGACUCAAGGUAGGAAGGGUGGUGAGAUUGCAUGGGGAAGGGGGACCCAAGGUGUUAAUUACAGUAAAACUGCCUGAGGAGGGAUCUCAGGACUAACU